rnacentral:rRNA from 1 species
AUGGAACCCGCGAGGCAGGUCGUGCGCCACACUGCGGCCAUUGGUGCCUCAGGAUCACCUGCUGUGCUAGCUGAUAUGAUGACCUAUCUGGGUUAUCGCUGGCACCCUGAGUACACCGUCUACGAGGAGUACCAGGACUUUAACCAGGAGCAGUACCGUGCCAUCGUCCACCUCUACUCUCGGGAGUAUGAGUCCACUACCGUGCUGCACACCGCUCAUGGUGUUGGAGUGACCAUCGAGAUGGCAGUCCACGAUGCGGCUCAUGCUGCUCUGACACGUCUUCGUGGAGAGUAUCAGGCAUUGGACACUUCCCCUUUCAGGCACAUUCCUAUCGCAUCUGACGUUGGUGCGGAGGGAUACUACACUGCCGCCUACUCCACCGUCACCCGAGAGCCUUUCCACCAUCAGCGCCUGGUUCUGCAUGCUGAUGGGCUGGACCGAGCUAACAGAUCUCUUCGCCACGAGUUGUACACCACUCGUCAGCACCUUUACAGGGCUCUGACGCGGUUGCACCCCUUUGUCCGGUCUGGACAGCUGCCGCGUUCUGCGAUCUACCCAGCCAGGACCGUGAUGCCCCACGGUGUCGGAUGGCCAGAGGUGGGAGGCUACUCUCCCGCACUUGGUCCUCUUCUGCCACCUGAGCGUCGGGUUCUACACCAGAGUAUCCGCGGCCCCCAGGCCACUGACGUGGAGGACUAUCCGUUGCCUCACUACCAGCUGUCAGGUUACAGCUACCUUCACAGUACCUCCUGGGACUGA